CCUACGGGCGGCAGCAGUGAGGAAUAUUGGUCAAUGGGCGAGAGCCUGAACCAGCCAAGUCGCGUGAGGGAGUACUGCCCUAUGGGUUGUAAACCUCUUUUGUCGGGGAGCAAAAGCCGGACGUGUCCGGCUGUGAGAGUACCCGAAGAAAAAGCAUCGGCUAACUCCGUGCCAGCAGCCGCGGUAAUACGGAGGAUGCGAGCGUUAUCCGGAUUUAUUGGGGUUAAAGGGUGCGCAGGCGGCUUUUUAAGUCAGCGGUCAAAUCGUGGGGCUCAACCCCAUCCAGCCGUUGAAACUGGGGAUCUAGAGUGUGCGAGAGGUAUGCGGAAUGCGUGGUGUAGCGGUGAAAUGCAUAGAUAUCACGCAGAACCCCGAUUGCGAAGGCAGCAUACCGGUGCACAACUGACGCUCAGGCACGAAAGCGUGGGUAUCGAACAGGAUUAGAUACCCCAGUAGUC
rnacentral:rRNA from 1 species